UCCAUAGGAACGAGGUUGGCUACUUUUCAACCUCGUUGCAAUGGAAGUUCCAUUGCAACGAGGUUGAAAAGUAGCCAACCUCGUUCCCAGGGUAUUUGCUC